GAUGAACGCUGGCGGCGUGCCUAAUACAUGCAAGUCGAGCGAAUGGAUUAAGAGCUUGCUCUUAUGAAGUUAGCGGCGGUCGGGUGAGUAACACGUGGGUAACCUGCCCAUAAGACUGGGAUAACUCCGGGAAACCGGGGCUAAUACCGGAUAACAUUUUGAACCGCAUGGUUCGAAAUUGAAAGGCGGCUUCGGCUGUCACUUAUGGAUGGACCCGCGUCGCAUUAGCUAGUUGGUGAGGUAACGGCUCACCAAGGCAACGAUGCGUGGCCGAGCUGAGAGGGUGAGCGGCCACACGGGGACUGAGACACGGCCCAGACGCCUACGGGAGGCAGCAGUAGGGAAUCUUCCGCAAUGGACGAAAGUCUGACGGAGCAACGCCGCGUGAGUGAUGAAGGCUUUCGGGUCGUAAAACUCUGUUGUUAGGGAAGAACAAGUGCUAGUUGAAUAAGCUGGCACCUUGACGGUACCUAACCAGAAAGCCACGGCUAACUACGUGCCAGCCGCCGCGGUAA
rnacentral:rRNA from 1 species